CUUGGUCAUUUAGAGGAAGUAAAAGUCGUAACAAGGUCUCCGUUGGUGAACCAGCGGAGGGAUCAUUACCGAGUGUAAAAACUCCCAAACCAUUGUGAACCUACCACUGUUGCUUCGGCGGCCUCGCCCCGGGCGCGUUCGCGCGGCCCGGACCCAGGCGUCCGCCGGAGGCUCCAAACUCUUGUCUUUUAGUGUAUUUCUGAGUGGCAUAAGCAAAUAAAUCAAAACUUUCAACAACGGAUCUCUUGGUUCUGGCAUCGAUGAAGAACGCAGCGAAAUGCGAUAAGUAAUGUGAAUUGCAGAAUUCAGUGAAUCAUCGAAUCUUUGAACGCACAUUGCGCCCUCUGGUAUUCCGGGGGGCAUGCCUGUUCGAGCGUCAUUACAACCCUCAAGCUUUGCUUGGUAUUGGACAUUGCCAGUUUCUGGCAGGUCUUAAAAUCAGUGGCGGUGCCAUUUGGCUUCAAGCGUAGUAAUUCUUCUCGCUUUGGAGAUCCAGGUGGUUACUUGCCAAUGACCCCCAAUUUUUUCAGGUUGACCUCGGAUCAGGUAGGGAUACCCGCUGAACUUAAGCAUAUCAAUAAGCGGAGGA
rnacentral:rRNA from 1 species